rnacentral:rRNA from 1 species
GAUCAUGACUCAGGAUGAACGCUGGCGGCGUGCCUAAUACAUGCAAGUCGAACGCUUCACUUCGGUGAAGAGUGGCGAACGGGUGUGUAAUACAUAAGUAACCUGGCAUCUACAGGGGGAUAACUGAUGGAAACGUCAGCUAAGACCGCAUAGGUGUAGAGAUCGCAUGAACUCUAUAUGAAAAGUGCUACGGGACUGGUAGAUGAUGGACUUAUGGCGCAUUAG